AGCGAACGCUGGCGGCAGGCUUAACACAUGCAAGUCGAGCGGGCCCUUCGGGUUCAGCGGCCGAUGUGAGGGUAACCCGAGGGAACGUUAACUUUGGUUCGGAAUAACGCUGGGAAACUAGCGCUAAUACCGGAUAAGUCCUUUUGGGGAAAGGCUUGCUGACGAAGAAGCGGUCCGCGUCUGAUUAGCUAUUUGGUGAGGUAAUGGACUACCCAGGUUACGUUCAGUAGCUGGUCUGGGAGGAUGAUCCGCAACACUAGGACUGAGACACGUCCCAGACGCCUACGGGUGGCAGAAGGUGGGAAUGUUGGACGAUGGGCGCAAGCCUGAGCCUGCCAGGCCGCGUGAGUGAGGAGGUCGUUAGGGUUGUUGAGCUCUGUUGUCCGCGACGAUAAUGACGGUACCGGAAGAAUAAGCCCCGGCUAACUUCGUG
rnacentral:rRNA from 1 species